AAAAAAAAACACAAACUGUUUUCAAAGAGAGAGAGGGGCUAAUUUAAUCAGGCACACUGAUACACACAUGCAUACACACAGAUAAAUACACAGGCGCACACUUACACACAUGCAGAUACACACACACACUUCCUUUCCUCCCAGCACUGACAUAAUCACAGGGGCCCGUUUGCACUAUUUAAGAGCCACAGCGCUGAACGGGCCAUUGAAGAUGCUAUGCUAUUGGGUGGCUCACUUAGAUGCUCAGAGCUACCGAUUG